UUCUCCUCCCUGGGAGUCCCUCACGAGACUCUGCUCCUCUGAAGAGAGUCUGGCGUCUCCCUGACGCACGCGUUUGCUUCAAGAUUUACAUUUUCGAUUUCCUUGCCCGUUUUUCGACCGCAUCCAUGAAAGAGAAUCGCAAAUGCCCAGAAAACUCAAAGGCCUCCUUAGACACCUGCAGCUCCACCGAGCGAACGGGCUCCAAUGCGCGCCCAGAAGAGGAUGAAGACACGAGAUGGGAGAACGCAUGUGCAAGGAAUCUCAGGGCCAGCCCUAAAAUAAGAUGUGGAAGGGAGGACCCUAUUUGGCCAUCUUCAUCCUCUGGGCAGGGACAGAAGAAAAGAUCCUCCUCUCCAAUUCUUUUCCCUGUUGGAUACAGCCUUCCUGAAUGUGCCGCAGGAUGUAUAUGACAGAAAUACCUUCCCAAGAAUGCAAUUCAAGCUCUGACUCUCAUACUCUUGGAGGCUACUGGCUUGGCUGUAAUUCUCCUUGAACAGGGCUUCAGGAGACAGUUAGCAAGAGCCUGGGUCUGUCUGAUUGUGUGAGAGUUGGGGUGCGUGGUUUGCACUAUAACAAGAUCUCACCAGUACAGUAAGUUUGGAAACAGGAAGGUUAAAGAGAAGGGAAUUCUGGACAAGGACUCUGCUCUCCUCCCUAAGACAAUUCACCGUGAUCUUCCAAUUUGGCCCACUUACACACCGUUCAUGGAUCCCAAUUUAGCUCAAACUUCUUACCCUUCAACCCAGCCUCUAAAAAUAAGAACAUCUGGGAAUACCAAGGCAGGGUGGUAGGGAAGACAAUUUCAUGGGCUCUCUCCCUCUCCCGACCUCGUAACUUUUAUUGCUUUACAGUUCAUUGUCUCACUCUUUCCCCCACCUCCCACCACCAUCCUUUUGUUCACACAGGAACUGUGGGAAACUCCAUCGGGGGCGGGGGGGGGGGGGGUGAUUCAGAAUCUUUUGGAACGACUGCUGAGCAAUGAGAGUCUCAAUGAAAUACCCGGCUGGGAAUAUCAACUCCCCCUUUAAUAUUCUCUUCUUCUGGUUCAAUAUGGAGUCAUUUCAAGGCUCACCACAGCUAGGGCUUGAAGCCUUUCUUUGCUGCUUCCUGUCUAUUGUGCAUUCCCUGGAACAAUCUGGAGAUGAGAGCCAGGUAGCAACAGUGCAGCAUGUCUCUGGGACCAAAUGAUAAUUGGAAAAUCCCAGUAAGUCCAUUCCCUCUGGCCCUUAGUUCACAUAUGGCCAGCACAUUAGAGACCUUGCCCAAAAGACCAGUUUGGGACAUAGAGUGGGGGUGAUUUCUGUCAUUAACUCAGACUAUCUUCCCUCAAAUAAUCGAGCAAUCAGGGCUCGGUGUGCCUUGGCCCCAUUGCCGGUUUGGCCAUGUCACUGGUUUUAACCCAACCUGAUGUCCCUUCUAGAAUGGUCCACACUCACGGAGAUAAAGUAGCUGUCUUUAUGAGUGAUUGCUUCCAGACUCAACGAAGAGAAACUCAUGUGUUUGAAAUGCCCGCCAUCCUUCUCCAUUUCACCAUAAAGUAGCCAAUUUAAUUUUGCACAAUACUGUUUGAUAACAACCAUGUGUGUGUCUUCUGUAUAUAUAUGCUCAGGAAAGGACCUGCUUGGUCGGUGUGAGAUAAUUUCACAAGAAAAAUGGAACCAGAUGUGACUCCUUUUUAUUUGGCUCUUCAAACUCGAGCAACCUAAUUCCCAGGGUCAGUCGUUACUCGGGUUUUCAGUUACCUUGCAGAAGGGGAUCCUUUUUCCCUACAGUGUUUUC